CCUACGGGAGGCAGCAGUGAGGAAUAUUGGUCAAUGGGCGGAAGCCUGAACCAGCCAAGUAGCGUGCAGGAUGACGGCCCUACGGGUUGUAAACUGCUUUUAUACGGGAAUAACGCGCCUUACGUGUAGGUCUUUGCAUGUACCGUAUGAAUAAGGACCGGCUAAUUCCGUGCCAGCAGCCGCGGUAAUACGGAGGGUCCGGGCGUUAUCCGGAUUUAUUGGGUUUAAAGGGAGCGUAGGCGGCAUGUCAAGUGUGUUGUGAAAUGUUCGGGCUCAACCCGAGCCUUGCAGCGCGUACUGGCGUGCUUGAGUCCGCUGAAGGCAGGCGGAAUUCGUGGUGUAGCGGUGAAAUGCUUAGAUAUGACGAAGAACCCCGAUUGCGAAGGCAGCUUGCUGCAGCGGAACUGACGCUGAUGCUCGAAAGCGCGGGUAUCGAACAGGAUUAGAUACCCGUGUAGUC
rnacentral:rRNA from 1 species